AGCAUUGUACACGACGGUUUAACCUCCGUUCGCUCCCGACAGAAUCCCUUGUUUUUGUCCUCAAAAGUUUGAUAUCGGUUUCCACUGUAUGGAUUUAGUGUUUUUAGUGUUCAGUGCAUGUUUUAAAGUGAUAAUCGUCGUCGGUCCCGUCGUUUUUCCCCGUUCACGCCGGUAUGGCGGCCGGUAUUGGUAUCGGUCAGAAUCUUUUUUUGCUAGCUGAGCAAAUUAUUGGUUAUUUUUCUUCUUUGUACGUGGUGGUCGUUGACCAGAAGCGAAGUUCCUCGACGGAAGUCGGCAAUGGGCGAAUGAUCCUAGCAGUCGAGCCCAACAUUUUUUUGUGAAACGCAUUAUUGAACUUGAACUUGAAUCUGGCAUAACAUAAUCUAGUAUAUCUACGUUGACUUAUGUUCUGUUUGUGACACUAAAAUUAAAUAUUUGAAAGAAAAUAAUAAUUAGUUUAAUAUUUAGGUAAUAUUCAGACAUUAAAAUAGCCAAGAUGACGAUUCAACCCGAAUUACAAGCAGUUGUUUUGGCAGCUGGAAAAGGUUCCAGGAUGUUAGAGAUAACUUCUAGAAAACCGAAAUGUUUAUUACCUGUUGGUCCUAAACCUCUUAUUUGGUACACACUAAACAAUCUCCAGGUUUCUGGAUUUACAGAAGCUAUUGUCAUUGUAUUAGAGACCCAACGAGCUGAGAUUCAGAAUCAUUUGGAAAACACUGAUCUGAACCUUAAGAUAGAAUUUGUAUCAAUUCCAGAAGAUAGAGAUGAUUUAGGAACUGCAGAUAGCUUAAGAUUGAUACAUGAUCGAUUAAAAUCCGAUGUACUAGUGCUUUCUUGUGAUUUAAUCAGUGAUGAGAAUCUAAGUGGACUAUUAAAUAUAUUUAGGAAACAUAAUGCAUCUAUUGCGUCAUUAUUCUUACAUUCAGAUCCACUAGGCACUCUUAUGGUACCUGGUCCGAAAUCAAAAUAUAAAGCUGAAAGGGAUUUAGUAGGUAUUGAUGUGCAGACAAACAGGUUAGUGUUUCUGGCUUCAGCUAGUGAUUUUGAAUCAGAUGUAUCCCUACCAUUAAAGCUUCUUAAGAAACAUACUCAUGUAAAAAUGUAUAGCAAUCUGGUUGACUCCCACAUUUAUGUAAUCAAAAAUUGGGUAAUACAACAUCUUAAAUUGGAAGACAGCUUUACAUCUCUUAAAGGAGAGUUGAUUCCGUAUAUUGUUAAGAGACAGUUAUCAAAGCCACCGAAGACAACAGAUACUAAUCAGUCCAUUUUAAACACAAAAGACACAGGUAGUAUAUUCCAUUUUUCCGAAGAAAGUGAUCUUGACUUGUUGAUAAGAGAAACUUCCUCUUAUAAUGAUCAUUUUGGAGACCUUAAGCCAACAUAUAAUGGUGAUUCAAUUCGAUGUUAUGCUUAUGUUGCACCAAAGGCUUCAUUUGGUAUAAGGGUUAAUAACUUACCAGCAUAUUGGAGUAUAAAUGGGAAGAUUUCAAACUUGUGGGAGAAAAUAACCCCAACAAAAGAUUUAAUACGAAAAAGCGCAGGCGCAUCAGUACAAUCCAAUCAGGUCGAUGACAAGUGUAUAAUUUGGGAUGGCGCCAAAUUGAAAGAAAAGACAUCCUUUAAAAACGCGAUAAUAGGUAACAACACCGAAGUGGAGAGUUUCAGUAGAGUGUUUAACAGCAUCAUCAUGAACAACGUUACAAUUAAAGAAAAGGUUGCAAUUGAGAAUUCUAUUAUCUGCGAUGGUGCUGUGAUAGAAAGUGGAUGUAAAAUCAAAAACUGUAUCAUUGGAUGUGGCCACCUGCUUAACGAAAAUUCGGAACACAUUAACGAAGUACUAACAGAAACACUAAUGCAUUUUUGAAUAUUUUUUUUAAUUUGUAUAUAGUACAUAGAUGGUUUGGGUCUUCAAAUUUGACUGGUUUGUCCAUGGUUUUGUUACCACAUGUACUGCAUACGAUGAAAAUAGUUGCCAUUAUGCAGGCAAUUCAUCUCUCUUUUGCACAAGCCUUAAUGGUGUACAGUAGUUAGUUCUUUGAUACAGCCACAGGGUACCAAUUGGUUGAUCUGGGAUGGUCAGUUCUACAGUUCUUCAGCUUCUUGAAAUAAAACCCAGGACAUGUCAAAUUUGGUCAAAGUCAAUGCUCACUAGAAAGAACUUUCCAGCAAGAAAAAAGUUAAUUGGAAAGAAGUAUAGGAAAGGCAUAGUAAAUCGGUGUAGAAUUAGAUUGGUGUUAUUUGAAAAAAGUUUUGGAUCUUUGAAAAUGAUAUAAUUGGUUUGUCAAUAUUGAAUAUUCUCUAAGUGAUAAAUAAAUUUUUACUAGGAA